rnacentral:sRNA from 1 species
GCCGGGCGCGGUGGCGCGCGCCUGUAGUCCUAGCUACUCAGGAGGCUGAGGCAGGAGGAUCGCUUGAGUCCAGGAGUUCUGGGCUGCAGUGCACUAUGCUGAUCGGGUGUCCGCACUAAGUUCGGCAUCAAUAUGGUGACCUCCCGGGAGCGGGGGACCACCAGGUUGCCUAAGGAGGGGAUAAAGGAGAGGAUGGAGAGGGUGAAUUCAAAUAUAAUAUAUUUGAUUCAUCAUUAUAAGAUAUUUGAUACAUUGUUAGAACCUUUGUAAAUACCACAAUGUACU